rnacentral:misc_RNA from 1 species
GAUGAAGAACGUAGCGAAAUGCGAUAAGUAGUGUGAAUUGCAGAAUUCAGUGAAUCAUCGAAUCUUUGAACGCACAUUGCGCCCCUUGGUAUCCCGAUGGGCAUGCCUGUUCGAGCGUCAUUUGUACCUUCAAGCUUUGCUUGGUGUUGGGUGUUUGUCCAUUCUCUUGCAGAGGGACUCGCCUUAAAGUAAUUGGCAGCCAGUGUUUUGGUUUUGAAGCGCAGCACAAGUCGCGAUUCAAAGCUAUACGCCCGCUUCCACAAGCCUUUUUCACUUUUGACCUCGGAUCAGGUAGGGAUACCCGCUGAACUUAAGCAUAUCAAUAAGCGGAGGA